AGCGGCGGACGGGUGAGUAACGCGUGGGAACAUAUCCUUUGGUUCGGAAUAACUCAGGGAAACUUGAGCUAAUGCCGGAUAAGCCCGAGAGGGGAAAGAUUUAUUGCCGAAGGGAUGGCCCGCGUCCGAUUAGCUAGUUGGUGGGGUAACGGCCCACCAAGGCGACGAUCGGUAGCUGGUCUGAGAGGAUGAUCAGCCACAUUGGGACUGAGACACGGCCCAAACUCCUACGGGAGGCAGCAGUGGGGAAUAUUGGACAAUGGGCGCAAGCCUGAUCCAGCCAUGCCGCGUGAGUGAUGACGGCCUUAGGGUUGUAAAGCUCUUUCGCCAGGGACGAUAAUGACGGUACCUGGAUAAGAAGCCCCGGCUAACUUCGUGCCAGCAGCCGCGGUAAUAC
rnacentral:rRNA from 1 species